UACGUAGGGUGCGAGCGUUAAUCGGAAUUACUGGGCGUAAAGCGUGCGCAGGCGGUUUUGUAAGCAAGAUGUGAAAGCCCCGGGCUUAACCUGGGAAUGGCAUUUGGGACUGCAAGGCUUGAGUGCGGCAGAGGAGACUGGAAUUCCUGGUGUAGCAGUGAAAUGCGUAGAUAUCAGGAGGAAUACCGAUGGCGAAGGCAGGUCUCUGGGCUGACACUGACGCUCAUGCACGAAAGCGUGGGGAGCAAACAGG
rnacentral:rRNA from 1 species